UAGACGCUACGGAUUUAAAAUCCGUUGGCUUUUUAGACCGUGAGGGUUCAAGUCCCUCUACCCCCA
rnacentral:tRNA from 1 species